GAUGAACGCUGGCGGCGUGCCUAAUACAUGCAAGUCGAGCGAACAGAAGAGGAGCUUGCUCCUUCGACGUUAGCGGCGGACGGGUGAGUAACACGUAGGUAACCUACCUAUAAGACUGGGAUAACUUCGGGAAACCGGAGCUAAUACCGGAUAAUAUUUCGAACCGCAUGGUUCGAUAGUGAAAGAUGGCUUUGCUAUCACUUAUAGAUGGACCUGCGCCGUAUUAGCUAGUUGGUAAGGUAACGGCUUACCAAGGCAACGAUACGUAGCCGACCUGAGAGGGUGAUCGGCCAAACUGGAACUGAGCCACGGUCCAGACUCCUACGGGAGGCAGCAGUAGGGAAUCUUCCGCAAUGGGCGAAAGCCUGACGGGGCAACGCCGCGUGAGUGAUGAAGUUCUUCGGAUCGUAAAACUCUGUUAUUAGGGAAGAACAAACGUGUAAGUAACUGUGCACGUCUUGACGGUACCUAAUCAGAAAGCCACGGCUAACUACGUG
rnacentral:rRNA from 1 species